GUGCAAAGGUAGCAUAAUCAUUAGUCUCUUAAUUGGUGACUUGUAUGAAGGAUGGAUGAGAUAUAAGCUGUCUUGAUAAUAUUUAAUUGAAUUUAAUUUUUUAUUUAAAAAGUUAAAAUAAUUUAAAAAGACGAGAAGACCCUAUAGAGUUUUAUAUUAAAUUAAAUUAAAAUUAUUUAUAUAAUUAUUAAUAUAGAUUUAAUUUUAGUAUUUUGUUGGGGUGACAAAAAAAUAAAUAAAACUUUUUUUAUUAUUUACAUAAAUAAAUGAAUUUUUGAUCCAAUUUUAUUGAUUAAAAGAAAAAAUUACCUUAGGGAUAACAGCGUAAUUUUUUUU
rnacentral:rRNA from 1 species